rnacentral:rRNA from 1 species
UACCAGCACCCCGAGUGGUCGGGACGAUUAUUGGGCCUAAAGCAUCCGUAGCCGGUUCUGCAAGUCCUCCGUUAAAUCCAGCUGCUCAACAGAUGGGCCGCGGAGGAUACUACAGAGCUAGGAGGCAGGAGAGGCAAGCGGUACUUAGUGGGUAGGGGUAAAAUCCGUUGAUCCAUUGAAGACCACCAGUGGCGAAGGCGGCUUGCCAGAACGCACUCGACGGUGAGGGAUGAAAGCUGGGGGAGCAAACGGGG